rnacentral:rRNA from 1 species
GAUUAGAUACCCUGGUAGUCCACGCCGUAAACGAUGUCGACUUGGAGGUUGUUCCCUUGAGGAGUGGCUUCCGGAGCUAACGCGUUAAGUCGACCGCCUGGGGAGUACGGCCGCAAGGUUAAAACUCAAAUGAAUUGACGGGGGCCCGCACAAGCGGUGGAGCAUGUGGUUUAAUUCGGUGCAACGCGAAGAACCUUACCUACUCUUGACAUCCACGGAAUUUGGCAGAGAUGCCUUAGUGCCUUCGGGAACCGUGAGACAGGUGCUGCAUGGCUGUCGUCAGCUCGUGUUGUGAAAUGUUGGGUUAAGUCCCGCAACGAGCGCAACCCUUAUCCUUUGUUGCCAGCGAUUCGGUCGGGAACUCAAAGGAGACUGCCGGUGAUAAACCGGAGGAAGGUGGGGAUGACGUCAAGUCAUCAUGGCCCUUACGAGUAGGGCUACACACGUGCUACAAUGGCGCAUACAAAGAGAAGCGACCUCGCGAGAGCAAGCGGACCUCAUAAAGUGCGUCGUAGUCCGGAUCGGAGUCUGCAACUCGACUCCGUGAAGUCGGAAUCGCUAGUAAUCGUGGAUCAGAAUGCCACGGUGAAUACGUUCCCGGGCCUUGUACACACCGCCCGUCACACCAUGGGAGUGGGUUGCAAAAGAAGUAGGUAGCUUAACCUUCGGGAGGGCGCUUACCACUUUGUGAUUCAUGACUGGGGUGAAGUCGUAACAAGG